CAUUCACUCCACGUCAAUGGUAAUUUCUAUCUGAAACCGAAAUUACUUUAUUGGAUUUUUCUAAAUUUCAUAUUUCUUUGAGAAUUCAGCCCAGUAGAUCAUCAGAUAGAUUAUGAGUGAUUCGGAGGAAACAGUAGUUUAUCAUCAUACUUCCAGAUCUGGAGCAAGAAAUAUAAUCAAAGAUCAAAAGAUUAAAAAAUCAGAAAAAACUUCAACUACGGAUGAUGCUGCAUUCGGUACCGGAACUUACGUAACAAAGAUGGGGCCAGAACAUUCAAGAGAUGCGAUUGCGAAGAAUAAUUAUGAUGGCAUGACAAAA